CUGUGUGGACAAAGUUGGUUUUGUGAAAUGAAAGAUGGGUUGCAGAGAAAGAGACCAAUGGAAUUGCAUUUAGCUUAACAUCUGAUCACAGAAACAAUGAAGGGAUACAAGAAGCAGAAUGCUAGGGUUUAUUGGCUUAACUUCAACGGAUAAGCAAAAACAGAACUUGUCCUUCUGCAGUUGAUGGACACAUGUUGAUGUUUUUAUCGCCACCAAAACUUUUCUGUGGACUUGGAAGGUCAUAAGAAAAUUUUGCAGUAACUGCUACUUUGGAUAGGUGCUCUGUCAAAAUUUGGCUGUAACUGCUACUUUGGAUAGGUGCUCUGUCAAAGUGAUUUGAAAUUGAAUAAAACCUCUUAAAAUCCAGGUCAAGUUUUCACUAAUGAAAUGCUUGAUUUGAAGUUGCAAUGUCUCCUAGCAGAGAAACUGUAUUCUAUCUAUGGUAUGUCUUAGCAUUUUAUUGUUGACAAUUUGUAAUUUUCUUAUAGAAUCUUAUAUCUGUAACUUCUAUUUAAGUGGUAAUGUAAAUUGCUUGCAGCAUGAAAGAUUUAAAUAGUUUAUUUGAUAUGUCAACUCCCAUCACAUGCAUGCUGUAUUAAAGGUUGGCUCCUUAUAGUGCAAAUAUUCUAUAUUAAAGGUCUUUACUGUUCAAUGGAACAUUAGAGAUUCACUUUAUUCUGUAGCUACUGUAAUUUUGCUAGUGUCAUAGGUUGGUUGAGUGCUUUUGAAAAACAAAAGCAGGCAUUUUGGACCUAUAAAAUUAUGGAGAUGUCCAUGUCUGCCUCGUAACUUUUUGCUUGAAUAUGCAAGUACAGUGAUUACGCAGAGAAUGAACUGCAUGAACCAUUGAGAGUUAUUUCCUAAUAGUCUGACAUGUCGAUGUGUUAGAAUCUGUAAACAGUAUGUUGCUCCCUUUUGAGUUUGCUUUUCUCAUUAGAUCUUUUCUCUGUGGCUGACGUUGGUUGAAUAUAAAAUGAAAAUGGGAAAGAUUCAUCACACUAACAUUCAUUGAGAAAGCAAGGAUUAGAGAAUCAUGGCAAAUGAUUUGUAGGACCAUUAAAGUACAAACCUCGCUCAGUUUUAGGGAACUAAAGGACAAGUAUAUUAGGUUUCAAUCCCACAUCCAUGACAAGAUAUGUAUUGAGGAUCCUUUACCUGCGUGUAUGAGACAUGUCUAUUGGACAACACUAACAGUAAACUCUUAGCAUUUUCUGAUGUUAUUUAUGAAAAUUGUUUUCCUUUUGUUUUCCAAAUUGUCAUUACGGUUCACUAUAGAUCAACCUUGUAUAAUGCACUCAUCUGAAAACGAAUAAUUUUUUUGUGCUUGGCUGCCAAUGAGUCAAGUUUAUGGCUGAAUAGUGGCUGAAUAAUCAUGUGGAGGAUCCUGUUUAAUGAUAUUUAUUUGUGAUUGUUCUCUCCAGAAUGAUCCCAAAAAAGAAACUUGACUUCAGGCUUUUCUGCCUUUUCCUCUCGCUAUACACCCUGCUUGGAUCUUGAGCCCCUGGAUUGCAGUAUUGCCCCUUAGAUGGCAAUGGCUGUAGAACAGUUUCACACUGCUAUUUGACAUUCUGUCCUUGGUGUAGACUGAAUGCUGCAAAAGUGGGUUGAUACGUCUGAGGUGCUGGUUCCAAGGAUAUUCUUGCCCGUGUUAUGAUGCCAAACUGACCAAGCCCUCCAAGAACGCCGUGAAAUAGUGGUCGAAAUAUCUUUUGUGGAAGCAAGGUCUAGCACAGCAUGCAUAGCAAGGACAAUGUCAUGAAAUACUUCACUUGACCCUGGUCCCAUUUGCCUAGAUGCAAAUUAUCCAUCUGAUUGACAUUACUGAUCUGAGGGCCAUGCCGAAACGCCUGCCCACUAACCCCAGCAUUAGACAAGGAUAUCUAUCCACAACUCACCGCCAGAGGCAUCCACAUAUGGAUAGUUUCCACUGUAAACAUGCAUUUUAUGAACUUGGAG